AACAAAAUCCUAAUUCUAAUAGAAUACUAAUAAUACUUUAAUUAGACCAAAAUAAUGCUAAGCAAGCUUCAUCAAAUUCAAAGAAACCUCAAAGAAAUUUCAAAUAAACAAUAAAAAUUCUUAAAGAAAUAUUAGAAGGAUCACAAAUAUCACUCAAAUACAUCUCAAUUCAAUCUUAAUUUAAUUCUAGUUAAAAUCCAAUUGAACUUCAUUCAAAAUUUAGGCCAAAACUAAUUGAAUCUUAAAUCCUAAUAAAAUCCUAAACCCUAAAUCAAAUCCUAAAUAAACCCUAUAUCAAAUCCUAAACAAACCCUAAACCAAAAUCGAAAUCCUAAAUCCUUACAAAACCCUAAUCCAAAUCCUAAAUCCUAAAUCAAACCCUAAAUCAAACUCUAAUCAAAUCCUAAAAAAACCCUAAAUCCUAAAUCCUUAAUCAAAUCCUAACCAAACCCUAAAUCAAAUCCUAAAUCCUAUCCUAAAUCCUAAACCAAAUCCUAUCCCUCAACUAAUUCCUAUAACAGAUUUAAAACUCAAUAACUAAUGAAUAAACCAUUGAAUUUAACUCAAAUUUCGCACACUUUUUAAAAACUAAGUUAAAAACAAUCACAAAAAAUUUGACAAGGAUCGAAAUUAUCAAAUUGACGAUAACCUCAAAAAUGUGCUCGGAUAUUAGUCGGUCUCCUCCUCCAAUCUUGAUGCCAAUCUUCUAAAGCCAAUAUCUCUUCUUUGCAUUAUUCGAUUGAUCUCAAAAUUCUCAUACAUAUAGAAAACAAGUCUCAUAUCUUCUCAUGUAAGUUUCACUCCAAUCCAACUAUUAAAUUUCAAGAAAUCUUAAAAAUCCCCACUGGACCUAAAAUUCUCCUUUCUAAGACCUUGGCCCAUUUAAACCUCAAUAUUCCUCAAUUCAACCAAUAGAUCGAGCUUAAAUUUAUAACACAUAUUAAACACAACUAUAACCAUAAACCUACAAAAUUUCACCUGUAGAUCUAUUACAAAACUCUUGAAAUCAUCCAAAAUAUAAACCCUAUUCUAUUUCAUAAAACCCAAGUCAUCUGAAACAAACCUUGACUUUACAAAGCUCUUACAAAGUCAAAUCAACUUCAAAUCACCCAAAAUCAAUGCCCAUAGAGACCUUAUCCAA
rnacentral:lncRNA from 1 species